rnacentral:lncRNA from 1 species
AAAAAAAUGCUAAUGCUAAAAAAAUAACACUUGUAAGAUUAUUUUUUACUUUUCCAUAAAUUUUAUUUACUUGUUAAUUAAGAUUUUAUUUUUAGGAGCGUCAACUACAUUAAGUAUCAGUUGAUAUAUGUUUUGGUCAAAUACAUGUUUGUAUUUGAAAUAGAAGUUGUUAAAUGUUGGUGGCUCAUCAUGCAGUGCAUUUGAGAAGGGCAUGCUUUUAAAGGUUAAGACUGCUCCCCUGAUUCCUACAGCAAAAAAAAAAACUUUAAAAUGCUGGUGGUAAUAUUUAAGAGUGCACCUGAUCGAAAAGAAGGUGAAUGGCGUCAACUGUUCGAACAUUUGAUUCUUGGAAAUUAACAAGUGGAAGAAGAAGUUUAUAAAAUUGUAAUUUAAAAAAAACUCGGCACAAUUAUAUUAAUAAAAAAUUU